CCUACGGGCGGCAGCAGUGGGGAAUAUUGGGCAAUGGGCGCAAGCCUGACCCAGCAACGCCGCGUGAAGGAAGAAGGCCCUCGGGUUGUAAACUUCUUUUAUUCGGGACGAAACAAAUGACGGUACCGAAUUAAUAAGCUACGGCUAACUACGUGCCAGCAGCUGCGGUAAUAAGUAGGUGGCAAACGUUAUCCGGAUUUACUGGGUGUAAAGGGCGUGGAGGCGGGAGAGCAAGGCAGACGGGAAAUUCCAGGGGUCAACCCUGGAACUGCGUUUGAUACUGGUCUUCUUGAGUGAUGGAGAGGCAGGCGGAAUUCCGUGUGAAGCGGUGAAAUGCGUAGAUAUACGGAGGAACACCAGUGGCGAAGGCGGCCUGCUGGACAUUAACUGACGCUGAGGCGCGAAAGCGUGGGGAGCAAACAGGAUUAGAUACCCCAGUAGUC
rnacentral:rRNA from 1 species